CACAGAUCCAGAAAUAUCUGAGGGAACGGAACAUCACACAGUUCUAUGACGUCUUGCACUUUGAGAAAGGUUUGUCUAAGAAACUGGAGAAAGCAUCGCACAAAGAAGACAUUCUUAAGAAAUGGCUACAGAGCAUCAAGAACCAUGUGUACUGGUGCGCUACGUCAUCAACCACUGGACCGGAAAAAGUGGCAAAGUGGACAUCGCUGCUAAAUUACUUGCAAAAUGUUCAUGAUCAUGAAGACCCCCUUUUCCCCAAAUGUCUGCAUCCUGAACGAGCGUCGAGGGACCCCAACAAAUGGCUACAACCUGGGUCAGUUGCACUUCACAAAGCUGAGAAACUACUGCUUAACAAACGAGUCCUGAAGGAUGA